GCUCCUAUCGUCUAGUGGUCAGGACAUUUGGUUUUCGAUCAAAAAGCAGGGGUUCAAUUCUCCUUAGGAGUA
rnacentral:tRNA from 1 species